GGUGUAUCCCUCCGCCGGUAGGAGGAGUCACAUCACGCUGUGCCACACCAGGAAGGAGAAUCGCUUUUCUUCACGCGGGUGUGCUCCGAACCACAGACGUUUACGUUUAAAUCUUGAAAAACUACUUGUGGAUGACUUUCUUCAAGAUCAAACAGCUCAUCUUUUCCGGGUUUGGAGCAUCUACCGGAGCGCAGCGUUCCUGUGGGGCCCACGGGGGCCAGAUAUUUCCCAUCACAGUCCUUAAAGGCCAGCUUGCCGGACUUCAACUCCAGUGUAAAACAGGUGAUGGGGGGCAGGAUGCGUUGGGGGCUCGGAGGGCAGGACCACCAGCUGAGCAGAGGGGUCCUGAGGCAGAGGAAGGACCGGCUGCAGAGGGCCUGACAUGGCUGCAGAGAAGCCUGGUGAGUGUCCGGUCAUCCAGAGGGACGGACUUCCAGUUCUUGGCAUCCAAUGGUGGUGAGCAGAAUGUGCAGCAGGAUCUCCCAAUUGGCCAGACUGGAUGGACGUCCCACCAGGAACAAUGAGACAAGUGAUCCCGAUUUGUUCCUCGCUUAUCCUCUUCCUCUCCUCCUCAGAGGGAUCUGAGGGAUACAUGGUGCGUGGUGGUCCUGCGAGAAAAGCGUCAGCUCAACCACCAGCUUUUACUUUUCUCCACGGCGGAGACGUAAUCCCAAGACUCCUGUCUCUUCUCUAAACACUGACACGUCUUGCAAAUUAAUGUAUUUCAUGUGUUAAUAGCUUUUAGCGUCAGCAGAAAUGUUGCCAAAACAUCAGAUCUGACGCGUUUCAUCAAAAUAUGAGGGAAUUUAUAAAAGAUCAAAAAACUAAAUGCAUUUUUUAAAAUGAUUUCUAGGUACCAACUCAUUUUCUAACACAUUAAUACAAAACUAAGAGCUCAGAUCUAAGAAAUGUGCAUGUGUGUCAUGUAUUACUGUCAUCGAUCAAAGCUCCCGAAAUGAAUCUGUUUAAAGUAAAAAAAAGUAAAUGUACAAAAACUUUUUUUCUAAAAAUUAAAGUAAAAAAAAAUCUGGUUAAUGUUUGGUGUGCACUAGCUACUAUUUAGUGCUCACCAGACAGUAACUGGUGCACACCAGAUAGUAAUUUUUUUUUUUUUUUUUCUAAAAAUUGAAGUUAAAAAAAAAAUUCCUGGUUACUGACCGGUACGCCCCAGAUGGUAACCAGAACUUUUUUAUUUAAAUUCAAUUUUUAGAGAAAAAAAAUCCAGUUACUGUCUGGUGAGCAUAAGAAAGCAACCAGAACAUUUUUAUUUUACUUCAAUUUAAAACAAAAACAAAAAAAA